GCAUGGCUGUCGUCAGCUCGUGUCGUGAGAUGUUGGGUUAAGUCCCGCAACCGAGCGCAACCCUUGUCAUUAGUUGCUACAUUCAGUUGGGCACUCUAAUGAGACUGCCGGUGACAAGCCGGAGGAAGGUGGGGAUGACGUCAAGUCCUCAUGGCCCUUAUAGGUGGGGCUACACACGUCAUACAAUGGCUGGUACAAAGGGUUGCCAACCCGCGAGGGGGAGCCAAUCCCAUAAAGCCAGUCGUAGUCCGGAUCGUAGUCUGCAACUCGACUACGUGAAGUCGGAAUCGCUAGUAAUCGUGGAUCAGAAUGUCACGGUGAAUACGUUCCCGGGUCUU
rnacentral:rRNA from 1 species